rnacentral:rRNA from 1 species
ACAUCCAGAGAACUUAGCAGAGAUGCUUUGGUGCCUUCGGGAACUCUGAGACAGGUGCUGCAUGGCUGUCGUCAGCUCGUGUUGUGAAAUGUUGGGUUAAGUCCCGCAACGAGCGCAACCCUUAUCCUUUGUUGCCAGCGGUUCGGCCGGGAACUCAAAGGAGACUGCCGGUGAUAAACCGGAGGAAGGUGGGGAUGACGUCAAGUCAUCAUGGCCCUUACGGCCAGGGCUACACACGUGCUACAAUGGCGCAUACAAAGAGAAGCGACCUCGCGAGAGCAAGCGGACCUCAUAAAGUGCGUCGUAGUCCGGAUUGGAGUCUGCAACUCGACUCCAUGAAGUCGGAAUCGCUAGUAAUCGUAGAUCAGAAUGCUACGGUGAAUACGUUCCCGGGCCUUGUACACACCGCCCGUCACACCAUGGGAGUGGGUUGCAAAAGAAGUAGGUAGCUUAACCUUCGGGAGGGCGCUUACCACUUUGUGAUUCAUGACUGGGGUGAAGUCGUAACAAGGUAGGCGUAGCGAG